UCCAGAUUGGUCUGAAGGUGGGUGUGAGGGGUUAUGGGUAGUGGUAUAAUGGUGUUUGUGUUCCAGAUUGGUCUGAAGGUGGGUGUGAGGGGUUAUGGGUAGUGGUAUAAUGGUGUUUGUGUUCCAGAUUGGUCUGAAGGUGGGUGUGAG